GAGUUUAGAUCAUUUAACUUUGUCAAUCAUAUUUUUUGGAUUAUGUUAUUGUAUGUUUUUUUCACUCGAGUUUAAUACGUGGGUUCAUGUUUUAUUGGGUUUAGAUCUUUUCAAGUCGGUUUUUUUUUUUAGUUUAGAUAAAUUUAAAGUUAAGAUGAUUUAGAGAGUGAGUUGACUCUGAGUUCGAGCUCUUUUGAGUUUGG
rnacentral:lncRNA from 1 species